AUCUACAGCCAUGCCACCCUGAACGUUGCCCGAUCUCGUCUGAUAUCAGAAGCUAAGCAGGGUCGGGCCUGGUUAGUACUUGGAUGGGAGACCACCUAGGAAUACCGGGUGCUGUAGGCG
rnacentral:rRNA from 1 species